AGGGAGCCUACAAAAGUAGCCAGCCCAUUAAAACCCAUGGACCUCAGAAUAACAGACAUCUAUUAUAUGAGCGCUGGGCACGCUGGGGAAUGUGGUAUAAGCAUCAGCCUCUGGAUUUAAUCAGGCUAUACUUUGGUGAGAAGAUUGGACUAUACUUUGCUUGGCUGGGAUGGUAUACUGGAAUGUUGAUUCCUGCAGCAAUUGUUGGUUUGUGCGUUUUCUUCUAUGGAUUAUUUACAAUGAAUAAAAGUCAAGUAAGCCAAGAAAUUUGUAAAGCCACUGAAGUCUUUAUGUGCCCGCUCUGUGACAAGAACUGCUCCCUGCAGAGACUCAACGACAGCUGUAUCUAUGCCAAGGUGACGUACUUGUUUGAUAAUGGAGGGACAGUCUUCUUUGCUAUUUUUAUGGCAAUAUGGGGCAAUGCAGUGAACAUUGGCAUCCUCAUUUAAUUAAAACCACUGUGCCCAGGUGAAGUAUUGAAAAUAGAUUUUACCUGGUUCAUUUCUGUUGUCAUAAAGUCGCCGAUGGGAAAAUGAAUCCGUUUUCCUUUUUCCACACAACAAGUAGCCCACAAGAGUAAGCAAUGAGACACCCAGAAUAGCACCUA
rnacentral:sRNA from 1 species